GGCGGAGCAUGCGGAUUAAUUCGAUGCAACGCGAAGAACCUUACCUGGGUCUGACAUAUGCCGGAAAGCUGCAGAGAUGAUCCUCGGAACAGGUGUGACGAGCGCAACCCUCGUCCUAUGUUGCCAGCGGGAUGUCAAGUAUCAUGCCCCUUAAGUCCAGGCUUCAUACAUGGCUGGUACAAGGGCUGCGAUGCCGUAAGGUGGAGCGUCCCAAAAAGCCAGUCUCAGUUCGGAUUGGGGUGCAACUCGACCCCAUGAAGUCGGAGUCGCUAGUAAUCGAGAUCAGCAACGCUGCGGUGAAUACGUUCCCGGGCCUUGUACACACCGCCGUCAAGUCAUGAAAGUCGGUAACACCCGAAGCCGGUGGCUCAACCCGUUUGGGGAGGGAGCCGUCUAAGUGGGACUGGCGAUUAGGACUAAGUCGUACAAGGU
rnacentral:rRNA from 1 species